GACGAACGCUGGCGGCGUGCUUAACACAUGCAAGUCGAACGGAAAGGCCCUGCUUUUGUGGGGUGCUCGAGUGGCGAACGGGUGAGUAACACGUGAGUAACCUGCCCUUGACUUUGGGAUAACUUCAGGAAACUGGGGCUAAUACCGGAUAGGAGCUCCUGCUGCAUGGUGGGGGUUGGAAAGUUUCGGCGGUUGGGGAUGGACUCGCGGCUUAUCAGCUUGUUGGUGGGGUAGUGGCUUACCAAGGCUUUGACGGGUAGCCGGCCUGAGAGGGUGACCGGCCACAUUGGGACUGAGAUACGGCCCAGACUCCAACGGGAGGCAGCAGUGGGGAAUAUUGCACAAGGGGCGGAAGCCGGAUGCAGCAACGCCGCGUGCGGGAUGACGGCCUUCGGGUUGUAAACCGCUUUCGCCUGUAACGAAGCGUGAGUGACGGUAAUUGGUAAAGAAGCACCGGCUAACUACGUG
rnacentral:rRNA from 1 species